UUGUGUUUGUCUUUACUUACAAAGCUCUUAACUAUAGUACAACUUCAGGUGUGUGGCGUUCCAGGUGCGAGGAAUCGCCCCUCCUUCCAGCGUCUCUAAGCGGUAGGCGCCGUUCCCGAGCGCCUCGGUUAUUCUGAACGGUCCAGUCCACUUGGGUGACAGUUUAUUCUCCAUCUCGUACUGGUGGGCCUUCCUCAUCACCAGAUCGCCUUCUCUAAACUGCCUUGGCAUCACCUUCGAG
rnacentral:lncRNA from 1 species